rnacentral:rRNA from 1 species
AUUGGAUGAGCCCGCGGCCUAUUAGCUAGUUGGUGGGGUAAUGGCCUACCAAGGCGACGAUGGGUAGCCGGCCUGAGAGGGUGUACGGCCACACUGGCACUGAGACACGGGCCAGACUCCUACGGGAGGCAGCAGUGGGGAAUUUUGCGCAAUGGGGGAAACCCUGACGCAGCAACGCCGCGUGAGUGAUGAAGGCCUUCGGGUCGUAAAGCUCUUUUAGUGGGGAAGAAUCCCUUUUUGGCUAAUAUCCAGGGAGGAUGACGGUACCCACAGAAAAAGUUCCGGCUAACUACGUGCCAGCAGCCGCGGCCGAAU